rnacentral:rRNA from 1 species
GACGAACGCUGGCGGCGUGCUUAACACAUGCAAGUCGAACGGUAAGGCCCUUUCGGGGUACACGAGUGGCGAACGGGUGAGUAACACGUGGGUGAUCUGCCCUGCACUUUGGGAUAAGCCUGGGAAACUGGGUCUAAUACCGGAUAGGACCAUGGUCUGCAUGGAUUGUGGUGGAAAGCUUUUGCGGUGUGGGAUGGGCCCGCGGCCUAUCAGCUUGUUGGUGGGGUGAUGGCCUACCAAGGCGACGACGGGUAGCCGGCCUGAGAGGGUGUCCGGCCACACUGGGACUGAGAUACGGCCCAGACUCCUACGGGAGGCAGCAGUGGGGAAUAUUGCACAAUGGGCGCAAGCCUGAUGCAGCGACGCCGCGU